GUGGGGAAUAUUGGACAAUGGGCGAAAGCCUGAUCCAGCCAUGCCGCGUGUGUGAAGAAGGUCUUCGGAUUGUAAAGCACUUUAAGUUGGGAGGAAGGGCAGUAAGUUAAUACCUUGCUGUUUUGACGUUACCAACAGAAUAAGCACCGGCUAACUUCGUGCCAGCAGCCGCGGUAAUACGAAGGGUGCAAGCGUUAAUCGGAAUUACUGGGCGUAAAGCGCGCGUAGGUGGUUCAGCAAGUUGAAGGUGAAAUCCCCGGGCUCAACCUGGGAACUGCCUCCAAAACUACUGAGCUAGAGUACGGUAGAUGGUAGUGGAAUUUCCUGUGAAGCGGUGAAAUGCGUAGAUAUAGGAAGGAACACCAGUGGCGAAGGCGACUACCUGGACUGAUACUGACACUGAGGUGCGAAAGCGUGGGGAGCAAACAGGAUUAGAUACCCGGGUAGUCC
rnacentral:rRNA from 1 species